rnacentral:tRNA from 1 species
AGGCACGUAGCUCAGUGGGAGAGCGCUUCCUUGACACGGAAGAGGCCGGCGGUUCAAUCCCGCCCGUGCCUAUCA